rnacentral:misc_RNA from 1 species
AUGAUUAUAUACAAAAUCAACUUCAUCAAAAAAUAAAUUUCAAGUCAAUGAGACGGUUGUUCGAAGCGAAAGAAUACACGCAAUUCAAGUAACAAAAUGGCGCUUUUCGAAACGUAAAGUAUCGACUGACAAAUCAGAAGAGAGAAAUUCACAGUUUAAUACAAAUCAUUUUCAACAAAAUAACAAACGCGACCUUGUCACAAGUAACAAUGAGGAGAGUUGUGCUGCUGGCAUGCAUGCUGUGCUGCACCGGAAUACUGGCAGUAACACGGCCACCAGGAGUCUACAUUCAGCCAAGAUAUGAUGUGUUCUUCAAAGCCGGGGAAACUGUGGAGAUGCCAUGUGUUGCCGAAGGCAUACCCAACCCCAGGUACACAUGGCAAAAGAAUGGAAUUGAUUUCAACCCUAGUGGUAAUGAUGACCGAUUGGUCCAGCUUACCAAUGUUGGAACCAUCGUCAUCAACAGACCAGAAGACAAAGAUGAGGGGAUUUUCCAGUGUUUUGCUGAGAAUGAUUAUGGCAAGUCAGCAACCAUAAACAUCAACCUGCGUGAAGCAAAGCUGAAAGAGUUUGAUGUGGAAGCAGACGUGACAUUCUCACCAUAUUUGGGGGAAUCUCAGACCUUGAACUGCGUGGCCCCAGAGAGUAUUCCCCCUCCGGAGGUGUACUGGGUCAUCAAGGAGCAGUAUGGCGGCUUAACACCCAUCAACUUCGAUGCCAGAGUCACCAUGGAUCAUGAGUCUCGUCUGCGUAUCACCAAUAUCAAGGCUGUUGACAGUCAAGAUGGAAAAGCCUAUGCCUGUAUGGCCAUGAAUAGAAUUGUGCGUAAAACCACGCAGGGAGCGCACCAGUUUAUUAUACCACGGGGAUCUUCAGAAGUUCAGAGACCAGUCACCUACAUGUGGGCUUCCCCGACUGACCAUUUCGGACUACGUGGGGAUGAAUUCAGGAUCAAGUGUAUAUUUGCUGGAAAUCCCACACCAGACGUGCACUGGGUGCGCCCUGAUGGCAAACCUUUGCCCGACUACGCCAAGCAGAGUAGCUUUGGGCAGGAACUUGUGUUUUCAAGGUUGGAGUUUUCUGAUGGAGGAGAAUACGUGUGUUGGGCAACGAAUGCUCUGUCCCCUCAGAGAGUUCAGAGAACCAUCACCGUGAGAGUGGAGUCCCGUCCCUACUGGAUUGAGAAACCCAGAGAUGUGGUGUUGGGUAUUGGAGAGACUGCUCGCUUCAAGUGCCUGGCCGAUGGAAUGCCAAAGCCUUCACUGAAUUGGUACAUCAACACUGUACGCCUGGGAGAUGCCAACAUGGAUAAGCGGUUCAAGAGAAUCGCGUUUGAUGAGGUUAUGUUGGUGAAUGUCACCAAGGAAGAUGCCAUGGUGAUCCAGUGUAACGUCACCAACAAAUACGGCUACAUCUGGGGAGACGUCUACCUCAACGUACUGUGUAAGUACCUGCUAGGUUUCAUACCUCCUGUUUAGAUUCCGGGUUAGAAGUGGCUCACAACAGCCUAUGUAGUUAUAAGAAGUGACUUGGAUGAAUUGGGUGGUCAGGUGUGUUGGCUGAUCGUGUGUCAUUGUACCCUGAUGGAAGGGAUCAUUGCUCAUAAUAUCAACCACUGGAUUGUCUUGCAAAGACUUGAUUAUUUACAGGCUGAUGUCAUAUAACUGAAGUAACUGAGUGCGGGAUUAAUCAACAAACAAAACUCAAGUUUUCUCCACACAUUGUCUAGUCUGAUAACGAUUCAUGUUAUGUUUUAUCACAUGCCCAAUGUAUAUUCUUUUUUUACUUCAAUUUCAUUUCCUUACCAUCAUUAUCAUACUCAUCGACAUUCCUCGGGUUUAUAUUAUGUUUUAUUUUGAAGUUCAUAGUUAGUUUAUCAUGUUUUUGUAACACUUGCAAAUACCGAAUUAUCUUGUUUAUUUACACUUUUUGUCCACUUAUAUUUCAUAUAGAACUGACCGAAAUAUACCUAAAUACAUGUACACUGCAUAGUUGUUUGUAAGCUGCUUGAUUAGUAAUUAGUAGCUUGAGUUAUGUCAAUUUAUGGUUUUACAGUCUAGACCUGCUAAGAUGUUGAUCUUCAGCCCAAGGAAUGCUGCAAUUUUUUUCAGUUGCAAUUCCUAAUUUUGAAUUUUAAAAAUAUCAACCUCUGUGCUAUUCAACUACUUUAAGGCACUUUAAUGAUGACUUGUAUUUCACUGAUGACAGGGUCGACAAAGACGAAGUGGCUUUCAUGAUUAGUGUUACGUUUUUGAAUUUCAUUAUUAUCGUCAUCGUUGAGUUUCGGAAAUAUUUCACCUUAUCCUGCAUUACAUAUUGCAUUACCUUGUGUUUCAUGCGAUAGUGUUGGAUGCUUUAAAACUGAUCCUAUGACACACUUUGCAUUUCUCCCUUCUCAUUCUCUUUCUUAUGGCUCUAGAGUGGAGACGUAUUUUUCUGGAAGAGAAAAAAACGUAUUCCCCCAAUAUUUCAGAGUUUUAGAACUUAUUCUAUCUCACGCUAUGUAUUUCAUCCUUCUUCUUCGAUCCGGGUGUGGAAACGAUCCCAAACCAGUUUACAGCUUCAAAAAGCACUGCACCCAAACACGUCCCAGCCAUCACGUGCCGCUAACAAUGGACUGUGCACGCUCUGAUUCCCGCGCAACUUGAUCACACGACCUCCCAGGCUUGCUUAUUCUCUUUUUUUAUCGCCUUGGUGUGGAGACGUUUUUGGAUUUGAAGAGAAUUAUUUUUGGUGUGUGCUCUGUAAAAAGUCGGCCAAUCUUGAUUGUAUUAAGCGUACACCGGAUGGACGUUCGCCUGAGCGAUUGGUGGAUGCAGAAGAGUUGAAAGGGAUUGAUAUUCUCUUCCAUGUGCGACGGAAAUGGACAGUCUACUGUAUGAACGCGUUCUCGUCCAUGUUCGUCAGAGGACUGUAGCCGAUAUAGCCGAUAUCGGGAUCAACGUUCCAUCCUUCUACAUUCAUUGGAGUAUAUUGAACGACACCCUUUUCCAAGGGAUCAACAUACACCUCCAGGGGAUCAACAUCACCACUCUACGAUCGACAGAUUUACAUUUAAACACCUCUUCAAGGAAUAAACAUACCAUUCCUAGGGAUCGCCAUCCCCUCUACCAGUCAGACGAUCGCAGGCACAGCCAGGAUCGAUAUCAACAUACCCUUUCAUGGGAUUGACAUACCUCUUUACGUGAUCGAUAUGCCACUCUCCCAUGGCUAUAGGAUCACUGGUGCUGUCAGGGUUGAGAUCCACAUACCCCUCCCGGUAGGAUUGACAUGCCACUCUCCCAUGGCCAUAGGAUCACUGGUGCUGUCAGGGUUGAGAUCCACAUACCCAUCCCGGUAGGAUCGACAUCAAAUGCCUGUAAAGGGAUCGUCGAUCAACUUCUGAGGAUCAUCGUCACAACAAUAGCCAGGAACAGGAUCGACAUUAUUCGUUCUAGAGAGAACAUUCUGAUCAGAGGGAUCAAUCAGGAUCUAUUUCCUCCUUUAUUAUACAUCACCGUAUACAAUCAUCUAUGUUAUAUACAAAUGACCGCUGCGCUAGAGCAACAUGGUUUACAUGUGGUCAAUUCUCCCCUUCCACGUCGUGCAACUACUGGAGUAACAUCAUUUUUCCAAGGAUUCGAUUCUUCAUCACUUCUGCGAACAACGAUCUCCGAUGAAGUGGCAACUACACCCUGUAAGGUCUUCUGGCCCAUAUAACAUACAACACAGAGGUACGAACACAAGACGUUUACUUGACAAAGACAAUAACGAGACUGGUUACAAUCGAAAUCGGAUCACGCGUCAUAGUCCAUGAUUCCACGUGCAGCCACACACUACUGUUGGGGACCGUUGCGUUCUGGCGAAGCUGUCCAGUACCGGGAACAACCUCACAACCCGGAGACUUUCACUGGAUUUGCCAACUCCACCAAACCGCAGAAGUUGAUCUGUCCGAAAUCCGAUUCCACAAACCGUUGCCGACAUGGUACCCACAGGCAUGGGAUCACGAUGCGCUAGCCAUCACGUGGGAAAGUCAUAACACAUACAUGUGUGGUAGAUAGUAGUUCUGUAUAUAUUAAUCAUGUUUUAUUAAUUAGCUUUUGAUUUACUAUGUAUGUUGUCAAUAAUGGUAUUUUGUAUAUUUCAGAUAUUGCAGUAAUCAAGAAUUAUUUAUUGUAUUUCUCAUUACAGGCUGCAUACUUAAGUAGUUGUAAGUCAAGUAUUAUCAUUAAAGCCCUAUUCUAAUGUCAUGUUUUACUUAGUGGGUCAGUCAACUGCUUGGUGGUCAAUCAGAGUGUAAGCCCAGGCGUCCUCUGGAUUGGCUAGUUUUAAAUCUCUGUGUCCCACUUUCAAACCCCUUUGUUUUCACCCUGCACUUGGCAUUAAUACUUCACUGUGCACUGGACUGGAAGAAAGGAUAUACUUAUAUAAAGGUUAGUAGUUAAAAGUUAUAAUUGUAUUUUAUGCCAGUAUAAUUAUGCAAAUCACUAAAGUUUAAUAAAUGUCUUUAUAGAUCCUUAAUUAUAUUUAAACAUGUCACAUUUACUAGUAUUAGUGUGUGCAUGGUGAGUGUAUGUAUACUAGAUAUAUUUCAUUUCACUAUAUGUGUGUCUGUGUUAAUCUAGGACAUUUGUGUAUUCUGUAACUUGUAUUGUGUAUUAAUAAUUUGAUAAUAGUUUACAUGUAAGGUUCAUGUGUGUAGAU